GCUCAAGGAAUCACUGGCGGCAGGUCAACACAUGCAGGACGAACGCAUCCUUCGGGGUGAGUGGCAGACGGGUGAGUUAUCUCCGGGAACGUACCGUUAAGUUUGGAAUAACCCAGGGAAACUUGGGCUAAUGCCGGAUACGCCCGAGAGGGGAAAGAUUUAUCGCUGAGAGAUCGGCCCGCGUCUGAUUAGCUAGUUGGUGAGGUAAAGGCUCACCAAGGCGACGAUCAGUAGCUGGUCUGAGAGGAUGAUCAGCCACAUUGGGACUGAGACACGGCCCAAACUCCUACGGGAGGCAGCAGUGGG
rnacentral:rRNA from 1 species